AUUGAACGCUGGCGGCAGGCCUAACACAUGCAAGUCGAGCGGAUGAAGGGAGCUUGCUCCUGGAUUCAGCGGCGGACGGGUGAGUAAUGCCUAGGAAUCUGCCUGGUAGUGGGGGAUAACGUCCGGAAGCGGGCGCUAAUACCGCAUACGUCCUGAGGGAGAAAGUGGGGGAUCUUCGGACCUCACGCUAUCAGAUGAGCCUAGGUCGGAUUAGCUAGUUGGUGGGGUAAAGGCCUACCAAGGCGACGAUCCGUAACUGGUCUGAGAGGAUGAUCAGUCAAACUGGAACGGAAACACGGUCCAACCCCCAAGGGGGGGGAGCAGGGGGGAAUUUUGGACAAGGGGCGAAAGCCUGAUCCAGCCAUGCCGGGGGGGGGAAGAAGGUCUUCGGAUUGUAAAGCACUUUAAGUUGGGAGGAAGGGCAGUAAGUUAAAACCUUGCUGUUUUGACGUUACCAACAGAAAAAGCACCGGCUAACUUCGU
rnacentral:rRNA from 1 species